rnacentral:rRNA from 1 species
GAUGAACGCUGGCGGCGUGCCUAAUACAUGCAAGUCGAGCGAACAGACGAGGAGCUUGCUCCUCUGACGUUAGCGGCGGACGGGUGCGUAACACGUGGAUAACCUCCCUAUAAGACUGGGAUAACUUCGGGAAACCGGAGCUAAUACCGGAUAAUAUAUUGAACCGCAUGGUUCAAUAGUGAAAGACGGUUUUGCUGUCACUUAUAGAUGGAUCCGCGCCGCAUUAGCUAGUUGGUAAGGUAACGGCUUACCAAGGCAAUGAUGCGUAGCCGACCUGAGAGAGUGAUCGGCCACACUGGAAGUGAGACACGGUCCAGACUCCUACGGGAAGCAGCAGUAGGGAAUCUUCCGCAAUGGGCGAAAGCUUGACGGAGCAACGCCGCGUGGGUUAUGAAGGUCUUCGGAUCGUAAAACUCUGUUAUUAGGGAAGAACAAAUGUUUAAGUAACUAUGCACGUCUUGACGGUACCUAAUCAGAAAGCCACGGCUAACUACGUG